rnacentral:rRNA from 1 species
UACGAAGGGUGCAAGCGUUAAUCGGAAUUACUGGGCGUAAAGCGUGCGCAGGCGGCUUUGCAAGACAGAUGUGAAAUCCCCGGGCUCAACCUGGGAACUGCAUUUGUGACUGCAAGGCUAGAGUACGGCAGAGGGGGAUGGAAUUCCGCGUGUAGCAGUGAAAUGCGUAGACAUGCGGAGGAACACCAAUGGCGAAGGCAAUCCCCUGGGCCUGUACUGACGCUCAUGCACGAAAGCGUGGGGAGCAAACAGG